rnacentral:rRNA from 1 species
GAUGAACACUGGCGGCGUGCCUAAUACAUGCAAGUCGAGCGAACAGACGAGGAGCUUGCUCCUCUGACGUUAGCGGCGGACGGGUGAGUAACACGUGGAUAACCUACCUAUAAGACUGGGAUAACUUCGGGAAACCGGAGCUAAUACCGGAUAAUAUAUUGAACCGCAUGGUUCAAUAGUGAAAGACGGUUUUGCUGUCACUUAUAGAUGGAUCCGCGCCGCAUUAGCUAGUUGGUAAGGUAACGGCUUACCAAGGCAACGAUGCGUAGCCGACCUGAGAGGGUGAUCGGCCACACUGGAACUGAGACACGGUCCAGACUCCUACGGGAGGCAGCAGUAGGGAAUCUUCCGCAAUGGGCGAAAGCCUGACGGAGCAACGCCGCGUGAGUGAUGAAGGUCUUCGGAUCGUAAAACUCUGUUAUUAGGGAAGAACAAAUGUGUAAGUAACUAUGCACGUCUUGACGGUACCUAAUCAGAAAGCCACGGCUAACUACGUG